GUAGUCUCGCACAGAUGCAUAUCAAUAAGCGGAGGAAAAGAAACUAACAAGGAUUCCCCUAGUAACGGCGAGUGAAGCGGGAAGAGCUCAAAUUUGAAAUCUUAAAGGGUUUCCCUUUACGAAUCGUAGUUUAAAGAAGUGUUUUCUGUUGAGGUUUUGGUAAAAGUUCUUUGGAAUAGGACAUCAUAGAGGGUGAGAAUCCCGUAUUUGACCUUUACUUUCAACUUUGUGAUACACUUUCAAAGAGUCGGAUUGUUUGGGAAUGCAGUCCAAAAUGGGUGGUAAAUUUCAUCUAAAGCUAAAUAUUGGCGAGAGACCGAUAGCGAACAAGUACCGUGAGGGAAAGAUGAAAAGAACUUUGAAAAGAGAGUUAAACAGUACGUGAAAUUGUCAAAAGGGAAGCGUUUGACACCAGUGUUGUUUUUCUGAAAAUCAAUUAAAGAACUGUUUAUGCUAAGUUGUUUAGACUUUAUCAGCUAACUGUUUAGUUUUGAGCUUUUCUUUAAUGCACUUUUCAGUUAACAAGUCAACAUCAAUUUCUUUUGCUGUAAAAAAGCUUGAGGAAGGUGGCUUGAGAUUCGUCUUAAGUGUUUAUAGCCUCUUGCCUAUGCAGUCGGAGAGAUUGAGGUCUGCAGCGUAGAUCCUUCGGGGCUAAAUGCAUUUGUGCUAAGUUAUAACAUUUUAUAGACAACUUGUUGACUAUGAUUUGUCUUGUAGCUUACUCGCUUAUGUUAUUUUACCUACGCUUAGGAUGUUGAUCUGUAGUGCGUGCGC
rnacentral:rRNA from 1 species